rnacentral:rRNA from 1 species
GAUGAACGCUGGCGGCGUGCCUAAUACAUGCAAGUCGAGCGAACAGACGAGGAGCUUGCUCCUCGGACGUUAGCGGCGGGCGGGUGAGUAACACGUGGAUAACCUACCUAUAAGACUGAGAUAACUUCGGGAAACCGGAGCUAAUACCGGAUAAUCUAUUGAACCGUGUUGUUCAAUAGUGAGAGUCGGUGUUGCUGUCACUUCUAGAUGGAUCCGCGCCGCAUUAUCUGGUUGGGAAGGUAACAGCUUACCAAGGCAACGAUGCGUAGCCGACCUGCGGGGCGGAUCGGCGACACUGGAAGUGAGACACGGUCAAGACUCCUAAGGGAGGCAGCAGUAGGGAAUGGUCCGCAAUAGGCGAAAGUAUGACGGAGAAACGCAGCGUCAGUGAUGAAAGGCUUCGGAUCGUAAAACUCUGUUAUUAGGGAAGAACAAAUGUGUAAGUAAAUAUGCACGUCUUGACGGUAACGAAUAAGAAAGCCACGGCUAACUACGUG